UACGGAGGGUGCAAGCAUUAAUCGGAUUUAUUGGGCGUAAAGGGCGCGUAGGCGGGAAUAUUAGUCAGAUGUGAAAUCCUGGGGCUCAACCUCAGAACUGCAUUUGAAACUGUAUUCCUAGAGGGUAGGAGGAGAAAACGGAAUUCCACAAGUAGCGGUGAAAUGCGUAGAUAUGUGGAAGAACACCGGUGGCGAAGGCGGUUUUCUAUCUUAUUCCUGACGCUGAUGCGCGAAAGCAAGGGGAUCAAACAGG
rnacentral:rRNA from 1 species